ensembl:snRNA U6 U6 spliceosomal RNA
GUACUUGCUUUGGCAGCACACAUACUAAAAUUGGAAUAAUACAGAGAAUACUAGCAUGGCCCCUGUGCAAGGAUGACACGCAAAUUCAUGAAGCAUUUCAUAUUUCA